rnacentral:rRNA from 1 species
GACGAACGCUGGCGGCGUGCCUAAUACAUGCAAGUAGAACGCUGAAGGAGGAGCUUGCUUCUCUGGAUGAGUUGCGAACGGGUGAGUAACGCGUAGGUAACCUGCCUGGUAGCGGGGGAUAACUAUUGGAAACGAUAGCUAAUACCGCAUAAGAGUAGAUGUUGCAUGACAUUUGCUUAAAAGGUGCAAUUGCAUCACUACCAGAUGGACCUGCGUUGUAUUAGCUAGUUGGUGGGGUAACGGCUUACCAAGGCGACGAUACAUAGCCGACCUGAGAGGGUGAUCGGCCACACUGGGACUGAGACACGGCCCAGACUCCUACGGGAGGCAGCAGUAGGGAAUCUUCGGCAAUGGACGGAAGUCUGACCGAGCAACGCCGCGUGAGUGAAGAAGGGUUUCGGAUCGUAAAGCUCUGUUGUAAGAGAAGAACGAGUGUGAGAGUGGAAAGUUCACACUGUGACGGUAUCUUAACAGAAAGGGACGGCUAACUACGUG